GAUGAACGCUGGCGGCGUGCCUAAUACAUGCAAGUCGAGCGAACGGACGAGAAGCUUGCUUGUCUGAUGUUAGCGGCGGACGGGUGAGUAACACGUGGAUAACCUACCUAUAAGACUGGGAUAACUUCGGGAAACCGGAGCUAAUACCGGAUAAUAUUUUGAACCGCAUGGUUCAAAAGUGAAAGACGGUCUUGCUGUCACUUAUAGAUGGAUCCGCGCUGCAUUAGCUAGUUGGUAAGGUAACGGCUUACCAAGGCAACGAUGCAUAGCCGACCUGAGAGGGUGAUCGGCCACACUGGAACUGGGACACGGUCCAGACUCCUACGGGAGGCAGCAGUAGGGAAUCUUCCGCAAUGGGCGAAAGCCUGACGGAGCAACGCCGCGUGAGUGAUGAAGGUCUUCGGAUCGUAAAACUCUGUUAUUAGGGAAGAACAUAUGUGUAAGUAACUGUGCACAUCUUGACGGUACCUAAUCAGAAAGCCACGGCUAACUACGUG
rnacentral:rRNA from 1 species